GUGGUUUGUCUCUCCUGGUGUGGUGUCUGGAGGAAUAAGGGUUUGUCUCUCCUGUUGUGGUGUCUAGAGGAGUAGGGGUUCUCUCUCCUGGUGUGGUGUCUAGAGGAGUUGGGGUUUGUCUCUCCUGGUGUCUGGAGGAGUAGGGGGUUUGUUCUCCUGGUGUGGUGUCUGGAGGAGUAGAGGAUUUGUCUCUCCUGGUGUGUUGUCUGGAGGUGUAGGGGUUUGUCUCUCCUGGUGUGGUGUCUAGAGGAGUAGGGGGUUUGUCUCUCCUGUUGUGGUGUCUGGAGGAGUAGGGUUUUGUCUCUCCUGGUGUGGUGUCUGGAGGAGUAGGGGGUUUGUCUCUCCUGGUGUGGUGUCUGGAGGAGUAGGGGGUUUGUCUCUCCUGGUGUGGUGUCUGGAGGAGUAGGGGGUUUGUCUUUCCUGAUGUAGUAUCUGGAGGAGUAGGGGUUUGUCUCUCCUGGUGUGGUGUCUAGAGGAGUAGGGGUUUCUCUCCUGGUGUGCUGUCUGGAGGAGUAGGGGCUUUGUCUCUAUUGGUGUGGUGUCUAGAGGAGUAGGGGUUGUCUCUCCUGGUGUGGUGUCUGGAGGAGUUGGGGUUUGUCUCUGCUGGUGUUGUGUCUAGAGGAGUAGGGGUUUGUCUCUCCUGGUUUCUAGGAGUAGGGGUUUGUCUCUCCUGGUGUGGUGUCUGAAGGAGUAGGGGUUUUCUAUCCUGGUGUGGUGUCUGGAGGAGUGGGGGUUUGUCUCUCCUGGUGUCUGGAGGUGUAGGGGUUUGUCUCUCCUGGUGUGGUGUCUGGAGGAGUAGGGGUUUGUCUCUCCUGGUGUGGUGUCUAGAGGUGUAGAGGUUUGUCUCUCCUGGUGUGGUGUCUAGAGGAGUAGGGGUUUGUCUCUCCUGUUGUGGUGUCUGGAGGAGUAGGGGUUUGUCUCUCCUGGUGUGGUGUCUGGAGGAGUAGGGGUUUGUCUCUCCUGGUGUGGUGUCUGGAGGAGUUGGGGUUUGCCUCUCCUGGUGUGGUGUCUAGAGGAGUAGGGGUUUGUCUCUCCUGGUGUCUAGAGGAGUAGGGGUUUGUCUCUCCUGGUGUCUGGAGGAGUAGGGGAUUUGUCUCUCCUGGUGUGGUGUCUGGAGGAGCAGGGGGUUUGUCUUUCCUGUUGUGGUGUCUGGAAGAGUAGGGGUUUGUCUCUCCUGGUGUUGUGUCUGGAGGAGUCGGGGUUUGUCUCUCCUGGUGCGGUGUCUAGAGGAGUUGGGGUUUGUCUCUCCUGGUGUCUGGAGGAGUAGGGGGUUUGUCUCUCCUGGUGUGCUGUCUAGAGGAGUAGGGGUUUGUCUCUCCUGGUCUGGUGUCUGGAUGAGUAGGUGGUUUGUCUCUCCUGGUGUGGUGUCUAGAGGAGUUGGGGUUUUGUCUCUCCUGGUGUGGUGUCUGGAGGAGUAGGUGGUUUGUCUCUUAUGGUGUGGUGUCUGGAGGAAUAAGGGUUUGUCUCUCCUGGUGUGGUGUCUGGAGGAGUUGGGGUUUUGUCUCUCCUGGUGUGGUGUCUGGAGGUGUAGGGUUUUGUCUCUCCCGGUGUGGUGUCUGGAGGAGUAGGUGGUUUGUCUCUCAUUG
ensembl:lncRNA